rnacentral:rRNA from 1 species
UACAGAGGUCCCAAGCGUUGUUCGGAUUCACUGGGCGUAAAGGGUGCGUAGGCGGUUUGAUAAGUCUGAUGUGAAAUCCCGCAGCUUAACUGCGGAACUGCAUUGGAAACUAUUUGACUAGAGGAAUGGAGGGGAGACUGGAAUACUUGGUGUAGCAGUGAAAUGCGUAGAUAUCAAGUGGAACACCAGUGGCGAAGGCGAGUCUCUGGACAUUACCUGACGCUGAGGCACGAAAGCCAGGGGAGCAAACGGG